rnacentral:rRNA from 1 species
AGGGGAAUAUUGGACAAUGGGCGCAAGCCUGAACCAGCCAUGCCGCGUGAGUGAUGAAGGCCCUAGGGUUGUAAAGCUCUUUCACCGGUGAAGAUAAUGACGGUAACCGUAGAAGAAGCCGCGGCUAACUUCGUGCCAGCAGCCGCGGUAAUACGAAGGGGGCUAGCGUUGUUCGGAUUUACUGGGCGUAAAGCGCACGUAGGCGGACUAUUAAGUCAGGGGUGAAAUCCCGGGGCUCAACCCCGGAACUGCCUUGGAUACUGGUGGUCUUGAGUUCGAGAGCGGUGAGUGGAAUUCCGAGUGUAGAAGUGAAAUUCGUAGAUAUUCGGAGGAACACCAGUGGCGAACGCGGCUCACUGGCUCGAUACUGACGCUGAGGUGCGAAAGCGUGGGGAGCAAACAGG